GAUGCUAUUUUCAUAUAGCGACGGUACCCUUCGUGGUCUGUCUUCCUGACCUCGGUUCAGACGUGAUUACCCGCUGAACU
rnacentral:rRNA from 1 species